UNCCUAGGGUACACGGUAUGGCUUAGGAC
rnacentral:piRNA from 1 species